AGAGAAACAUGAGAGAAAU
rnacentral:snRNA from 1 species